rnacentral:rRNA from 1 species
GAGUUUGAUCGUGGCUCAGAACGAACGCUGGCGGCAGGCCUAACACAUGCAAGUCGAGCGCCCUCGCAAGAGGGAGCGGCGGACGGGUGAGUAACGCGUGGGAAUUUUCCUCAAGGUACGGAACAACUCAGGGAAACUUGGGCUAAUACCGUAUGAUGUCUAGCGACCAAAGAUUUAUCGCCUUGGGAUAAGCCCGCGUCAGAUUAGGUAGUUGGUGGGGUAACGGCCUACCAAGCCUGCGAUCUGUAGCUGGUCUGAGAGGACGAUCAGCCACAUUGGGACUGAGACACGGCCCAAACUCCUACGGGAGGCAGCAGUGGGGAAUCUUGCGCAAUGGGCGAAAGCCUGACGCAGCCAUGCCGCGUGAAUGAUGAAGGUCUUAGGAUUGUAAAGUUCUUUCGCCCGUGACGAUGAUGACGGUAACGGGAGAAGAAGCCCCGGCUAACUUCGUGCCAGCAGCCGCAGUAAC